CCCCACCACCUGAUGAAUUGAAACACUGACUCACUGUUGGCCAGUCUGGCCCACUAGACUAGAGGUCAGUGCUCCCUCUGGAGGCCGAAGGUUGGCACUGCGGUGCCAGCCGCCGCCCGAAGCCCUGCGGUCCUGCUGGACUGAGGACGGAGCCACGGCUGAUCAGGACAGAACCGGAGCCAAGAGGGAGGUUCUACAGGAGCAGCUGCUCCUCUGAGGAGGUACUGACAGGAAGUCACACGUUCUGCAGCCACGGAAACUUUGUUUUGGUUCUUUAUUAAUAAGUCAUGACUGAUCAAUCCCAGAAUCAUUGAUCUACCAGCUCCUUCCUCCUCCUCUUUCUCCUCCUCCUCCUCCUCCAUGGUCCAGAACUGCAGUCUGUGUUUUCACCGUCUUCAUGUGGGGCGUGGCACAUCUCUCUGACUCUGCCGGACUAAUCGCCGUGGCACACCUGCCGUUCCUCAGCACCUGCCACCAAUCAGCCUAUCAGCCGACAGCAUAAGAGCCCUGGCAUUCCUCCCACUAGUCGUCAGAUCGUCUGUUCUGCUGCAGUGGAGACGAACACUGAUUUCGAUUGGACUAUAAUUCUUGUGAUUACUUUGGAAGUGCGCUUGAAAAAUAAAUCCUUGUGUUUCUCCUUACGUUACCUGCAUUUGGGUCAUGUCAAGGUUAAACAUGACACAUAAGUAUAUAUUUAUAUUUAUGAAGUGACUCAUCAGAACCUUCUCUCUGCAGUAAAGAACAUACAGUACUGCAGUAUUAGGACGAGGUAAAGAACACACAGUACUGCAGUAUUAAAACUUUUACUCAGACAUGAAACAACAAACAGAAACAGAUUCAGAAUUCAUUAAAAAAAAACUCUGAUUUUCUUCUUUCAUUCCCUCAGAUCAAACUGGACCAGGACCAGGACCAGGACCAGGACCUGCAGCUGUGGUUGACUAGUCCAGCUGCUCACAUCAAACCGUCACCUGGUUCUGACGUCCCAUGGUUUGAACUUCGACUGGUGUAAAAAUGGCAGAAACACUAAAGACCGGACACUCACUACUGCCACCACUGGUGGACCACCGGCGUUGACUGCCUGCUGCAGGUAGGUCACAGCCGGGAGACAGAGUUUUGGAAGAACGUUCACCUUCAUUGGGCCGGUCCUGUCACAUGUGCGUUCUGAUUGGCUGCAGUGAAAGGACAGCCAAUCACAGAGAGUCUUCAUAUUGCUUUAACCAAUCAGACGUGGCCGAUCGGUCCCUCACAAGAUCACUGUCAGUUCUGUCAGUACUGAGAGGACCAGACUACAGACGGUCCAGCAGUGUCCAGAACAAGGAUGCACCAUGGGAACUUAAGACCCCUAGAGGCCACUCUGUGCACUGCAUUAGAAACAAACCAACGUUUAGACCAACGACUAAUAACCACCUGUCUCACGGGGGGGGGGGGGGGGGCAGGAGGCCUGUGGCCCCCAGUCCUGAGGUUUACAACAGCAGGAAGAGUCGGGGGGGAGAGUUGGGGGGGAGAGGGGGGGUGACACAAUAACAAAUAUAUAGUUUUAUGUGUGUGUGUGUGUGUGUGGUACAGAGCGUCCGUCUGACUGUGUACUUGCAUACGGCGGUUGCAUUGAUGUGGACCGUGCACGUGGUCAGUGGACCGUGCACGUGGUGGGUUGUUGUAGCACCUGGUUGAGGGCAGCGCCCCCUGUUCCCUGUAGAACGACACUGCAAAAAGUCCACCCACUUGGACACAGUCGCGGUGACG